ensembl:lncRNA
GCUUAGGGACUGGGUGGUGGAGCGAUGUUGCAAUAUAAGCCUUAGGGGUUGUGUGUGUGUGAUGGCUCCCACUGAGUGAGCAGAGCUCGAGUGCCAAAUAAAAGGAAGGGUCUGAUGUAAGCCUGCCAAAAACAGCUGUGAGAAAGAUGGAGGAGGGCGUUACAUAGUGUGCAUGUGAGGGGGCAAGAGAUACUGUAGACACCCUGAGAGACACUGAGAGGGAAACUUUGGAAGUGGGAGAGAAUGUGUGGAAAAGAUGGUGUGAGAGACAUGAUUCUGUGUUGGAACUAGACACUAAGACCCUGAGCAACAAGGGGACGUCCUCGAGGCGAAGGGAAACGUAAAAUAAGGAGCAACCUGGACUGGAGACUAAGGAAAAUAAGGGCUAAGAAAGUGUAAGAGGAGAAGGAAAGGAUAUCAAAGGAGGAGUAAAGCAAGUCGAAUGGGUUGUGUCUUUAGCAAGCAGCGGUGGGUUAAAGAGAGGAAUCCCCAGCCCUCGGACCCCCCAAAAACACGAGACCUCACAGAGGAUGCAGAGAUUCUCAGCUUAACAGAGUACUUACAUGGGUAGUUGGGGAAAAUGGGUUCACACUCCUUUAAAGAGAGGAACUCCAAGAAGAAACACCACUGUGUUGUCUGCAGACAAGCCCUCGACAGCCAUGGCAUGUACUGCAGAGGUCUCUGUCCCCAGUGAAGUUAUCUCAGAUCCACCUCCAUUUCAAAACCAGAUAAACAUUCCUCUCAGUAGAGACAAAAUGGAGUUUUAUGGAGAAGUUGAUGGGCAGUCAUUAUGACUUUGACCUGACAUACAUAACUGAGCGUAUCAUCUCUGUCUGACCUGGAAGACCAGCGUUACAGUGCUAACCUCAAAGAUGUGGCAGCCAUGUUGAAAUCUAAACAUCAAGACAAGUUCUUGGUCAGUUGAACUUCUGUUUAAAAUCACUGCUGAGAUCUAAAGCCAUGUGAAUUAUGGCAUUACGUUGUGACAUCAAACCAAAGGUAUCUUCUUGCUGUUUGAUUAAAAACAGCAUUAUAUGUAUUAUUUCAUUAGUUAGAUUUGCAAGCAAAUUAAUUUAAAAGUAACUGUAUGGCUUGCUUGUUUUGAUGUAUGCCUCUGUUUCUGUAUUUCUGGGAUGACCCAUUCCCUUGCCUCAGGUUGAGAAGUUUGGGUGGCCUGAUCUACAUGCCCCAUCCCUCGAUAAAAUAUGUGCUGUGUGCAAAACCAUGGAGAACUGGCUUAACUCUGACCCCCAGAAUGUGGUUGUACUGUACUGCAAGGGCAGAUCUUGCUCUCUUGACAAUUGCUAUGAGGAAAUUUUGUGAGGAUAAAAUCUCUUCCUCUCUCCAACCAUUUCAGAACAGGUUCAAAAAAGAUGAACAGCUCUCCUCUUUUCCUGCAUAAAAUUCAUAUUCCAGCUUUGCUCAACUACCAGGCAGGAGGUUACUCUCCCUUUUUGAAGCUCUAUCAGUCGUUGCAGCUGGUCUAUUCUUCAGGCAAAUAGUAGUGAUAUUCAGGGUCCUAACAGUAAGAUGCUGUGUGUGAAUAUUAAACCAGCUCUACUGCUGAAGGGAGACAUCUUGAUGACCGAUUCCUUGCAGACGCCACAGUGGAGUUGCUGUUUUCUUCUGGUCUGCAAAGGAGAGGUGGAGAGGUGCAGGGAAAUGAGCCAGGAGUAUCUGUGGAUUAUGGCAGCGCAGAUCCUAUUGUGCGCUGGGACUCGUAUGAGAACUUUAACAUUCACCAAGAGGAUAGUGUUGAGGAUAUCUGUCACAAACAUGGGUCUUUGAACGGUAGUCUGUAUGCUCAAGUGAAGAAGCGUCGAGCACCAGGCUCCAGUCCCAGUGGAUGUCCGACUUCCGUCAAAACCCCCACACAUUCACCCUGUCAUUCCUCCUCUACCCCCAUUCAUCUUUCCAUCCAGCCUCUUUCGCUCAGCAAAGAUGCAAGUCGCUCCUCAGCACCACCCGAAUCCCCCUCUCCACUUCUAAGAGAAAAAAGAGAGAAGGACGAAGACAGGGAAAGACACAGAGAAAAUUCUUGACGAUGGCAACUGCUCUCCCAUGAGACUGGAAUGGCCAGUUCAGUCUUAUGGUCACCUGUAUUCCCACAUUUAUUAAUUCUGUGACCCAGAGCUUGCACAAAUGCUCCAUCCCAAACACCACACACUUCCCUGCAGCCGCACUGCCCCGCUGCCAGUCUGAGACUCGUGUGCAUCCCAGCCGGAUCUUUUAUGGGAGAGAGGGCAAUGUCUGCACCAUCCCUGCCCAGAAACCAUCAGGCACAUGUACUCAUAUCCCACUCACGUAACCCACCUUCAUUCGCCACUUUCCCACUCACAGUCCUCCCAUUCCCACACACUUCCCACACAGACACAUGUGUUCUACUCUGGGGAGGCAUGUCCUGUGUUCUAUUGCUCUGCCCUCCCCUAGGGCCACACCCACAUCCCUUCUUCUCUGUCUCCUACUCAGUCACUGCUCUCCAGUCCAUACCGAGAAUUACAUUACAGCACGACUCCCCCAACAUCGUGCUCCUGUUCUCGCUUACGAGAGGAUGUUGCCCUCCAUUCCUUACACGGCAGAGAAAUAGAAGCUCUCCCUUGGUCUAGAGAGACAGAGUUUGGGAUUAGGAGGGAGGGGCCUGUGCACUGGAGGGAUGAAAGGGCGGAGUCUCAUUGGGAAGGAGCUCAAGAGGCCGAAUACUUGCGGCGCAAAAUAGCAAUGUCACCAGUAAUGUUAUCAUACAGACAUUGCCACACUGUACCAAAACAAGACCAAGCUAUAUAUGUUACAGACACCCAACCCAAACAUAUGACCCCAAUCAGUCCAUAUCCCAGCCCCCAAAGCAGUGGCUAUCACAGCCCUCGUCCACCCUGUCCUUGCACUCCACAACCAUUCAGAGACAGUCCUGGAUACGUCUCCAUCAGUCAUUCGUUAUCCCCCAUUGCUCUCACUCCAUCUCCAAAACAAGCCAGUCACAACAAUGCUUCAGCUGAAGAGAGUCAGCAUAGCAUGAAUAGUAAUCACAUUGACUCAGUUUGGUCAAUAAAUUACAGCUAACAAAUAAUGCAUUCCUUAAACAACUUUUGAUAACACUUCACAAUAAAGUUCAUUAGUUACAGUAUUUAUUCAUCUUAAUGUUAACAUUAAUUAAUAAAAGUAUUGGUAUUGUUCAUGUUAGCUUAGGUCCAUUAAUAUUAACAGAUAAAACUUUGGAUUUUAAUAAUGUAUUAGUAAAUGUUGAAAUUAUUAUGAACUUCAUGUUAACUAAUUUUCAUGUUAACUAAUGUAGUUAACGUUAACAAAUGGAACCUUAUUGUAAAAUGUUAUCAAACAUUUGUGUUUCAAGUAAAUGCUGUUCUUCUGAACUUGAUAUACAUCAAAAUAUCAUGAAACAAAAUAUAUCACAGUUUCCACAAAAAUAUUAAGCAGCACAAAUGUUUUCAUCAUUAAUAAUAAUAAAAAAUGUUUUUAAACAAUAUAAAAUAUAUAAAAAUAGAGAAGAGUUUCAAUUAUACAAUAUAAUAAUAAUUAAUAUAUUUAAUAAUUAAUAAUAUAAUAAUUAAAUUGAAUUAAUAUUUCACAAUAUUACAGUGUUUUUUAUCAAAUUAGUGCAGCCUUGGUGAGCAUAAGCAUUUAAUAAUCGUACUGACCCCAAACUUUUGAAAAGUAAUGUACAUUUAAAGAGAUAGUUCUCCAAAAAAAAAAAAAAAUGAAACCUCUGUUCAUCACUCUGAAGUUGUCCAAGCCAGAUUUUUAUUUUAUUUAUUUAUUUAUUUUUUUUUUUUGUGGAACACAAAAGGAGAUAUUUUGUAGAAUGUAAACACUGUUCUUUCCUAUACACAAAAUUUGUUGGUGAUUGAUAAUGUCAAGCUUUAAAAGAGACACAAAAAUACCAUAAAUGUAACAUUUAUUUUAAUUUAUUUAUUUUUCCCCAGCUUUUUUCUCUUUCCUAAUCUAUUGUUGUGUAUUUUGUAGAUGGGCGUAUAGAGGUUUUAGAUGCUGAUAAAAGUCACAUUGAGGCCUUUUCACCUCCUGUUAAUCUCUCAGCAACAGUUAAUUUUGAUAGUUGAACGUUGAUUUUAAUGUGAUAUCAAGUAAAUUCUUCUGCGUAUUCUAACAGCAGACCAAUGGAGGUGGGAGAACCAAUGAAAAGCAAAGUUCUAGAAAGUAGAACAUUCCCUGGGUCUCUGAUCAAUGUUGUCUCGGCUAUCAGUGGCACAGAGGAAAAUACAAAGAAAACAACCAUCACAGAUUGUAAAUCUAACACCCCUCUCAUUAGUAACCCACCAUCAUCCAAGGUUGUGGAGUCAGUGCAGGUACAAACACACAACCCCAAACCUCUCAGUACCAGCAUCCUGGAAUCAGAGCAGGAUAAAGAGGAGUGCCCCGGCUCAUGCUACACCUCAACUUCAACCUCAACAAGUCCUCAACCUCCACUUUGCUCUUCAGAAAGAAGCUCUGCUUCUAAAUUCCCUUCAUUUAACAUAAAUUCUGAAAUGCAAAGCAUGACAACAGUGACUUGACUGCAACGUCCUCUGACCCUGAUGGCUACGUCACACCCUUAUUCCCUAGAGCAGUGGUUCCCAGCCCUGGUCCUGGAGAACCCCCAACACUGCACAUUUAAGAUGUCUCCCUAUUCAAACACACCAGAUUCAACUCAUCAGCUCAUUAGUGAAGACUCCAAGACCUCAAAUGUGUGUGUCAGAUAAGAGCCACCAAAAGCAUGCAGUGUUGGGGGUUCUCCAGGACCAGGAUUGGAAACCACUGCCCUAGAGCAUACAGCUACCCUCUUCUGAUGGAGCCUCAUGUACCCUAUACAGGCUAUACUGAGAUUACCUUCAGAACGUGUCUGAAUGCACUAGCUCUUCAUCAGCAAAGUCAGCUGAAAAACCUGUGACUUCCUUUGCCCAGUUCCAUGUGUCCUUCUCCACUACUAACAAUGAAUUGCUCCCACAUCUAAAUGCAAAGUAACCCCCUCUAGUGGCAUUGAGGAGCCAGAGAACCGCCUCAGCCCCAAGUUUGUUCAAAACAGCUCCAAGUAUUGGAACAAACCUGGCAUCUCCAGAGACCAGGCCAUCGCAGUAUUAAAAGAUAAGGAGCCUGGCUGCUUCCUCAUUAGGGAUAGUAAUUCAUUCCAAGGCGCAUAUGGAUUGGCUCUGAAAGUCAGCACACCUCCAGUCCACGCUAGUAACCACGGAGAGACAGGCAACCCACAGGAGCAGCUAGUUAGGCACUUUCUGAUUGAGAGUGGUCCUCAAGGAGUGAAGAUCAAAGGCUGUCAAAAUGAAACAUAUUUCAGUGAGACAAAAAAAGGCUGUGGUGUAUCAGCACUCCAUUACUCCUGUGUCUCUUCCUUGUGUUUUACGAAUCCCAGAUAGAGAUCUUGAAAGGGAAUUGCAAGAGUUGCAAAGUGGAACUAAUACCAGCACAGCUGCAGAUCUAUUAAAACAGGGGGCAGCUUGUAAUGUUCUCUACCUAAACACUGGCCCACAAGACGCCUCCAAGGCAACCGAGUGCACUUUGCCCCAGGACCCUCGUCCUUCACCAACAGUCAUACACUUCAAAGUGUGCACACAAGGCAUCACCCUCACUGAUAACCAGCGCAGACUGUUUUUCACAAUGUGACUUCCAGCAGUGUGGCUCCACUGGAUCAAAGGUGGAUUGAUGCUGAUAACACUUCCAGCAAGAUGUUUGGAUUUGUUGCACGGCGCAGCAGUGAAUUGGGAAAUGUGUGUCACCUGUUUGCAGAGCUGGACUCAGAGCAGCCAGCCACGGCCAUUGUGAACUUCAUCAAUAAAGUCAUGCUGGGACCUCAACAGCUGCGAAAAUGAACACAGUAUAGGAGAGAUGGAGAAAAACAAAACAGAGAGAGCAAAGGACAAGAUGGUAUCGCUGUGGAUAUUGUCACGUUUAUAUACAGAAUGAGAGAAGUGUUUCUCAUUAGGAUACACAAAACUGAUUCAGUAUGCAAACUUUGUCUUUUUCUGUCAUGUUCACAUAUAGUGUAAAUCAGUGAGAUUAGGUCAUGUUGAAAUUGAGUGCAUUAUGAAGUGAUUUCAAAUUAAACUUCUUUUAUUAAAUAAAAAUGAAAUGUACAAGAAAUACAACAAAUGGAUAUUCCUGGUAAAGUAUAUCUAAUGGAUAAAUAAACGAGAGAGAAAGUUUUUAACACUCAAACCUAUCUUUGCUUUUAUACUACCACUCAGGAUGCCAAAGCUCAAUGACUGUUAUUGUGUUGUGUUUUUAUUUUCAUUGAUUUUGUGUGUGCUUGUUUUCAGUUAAAUGGUCAGAUCUUUUGGUUGUUCGUUUUCUGUUCAAAAUGCCCUUUAUAAGACACAAAGUCAUAUUUUUAGCAACUGUUGCAUUUUUAAAUUCAUACUUUUUAGUAUUUAAAUAAAAUAUUACAAAAAUAUAAAAAA